AGUGAACGCUGGCGGUAGGCCUAACACAUGCAAGUCGAACGGCAGCACAGUAAGAGCUUGCUCUUACGGGUGGCGAGUGGCGGACGGGUGAGGAAUACAUCGGAAUCUACUUUUUCGUGGGGGAUAACGUAGGGAAACUUACGCUAAUACCGCAUACGACCUACGGGUGAAAGCAGGGGAUCUUCGGACCUUGCGCGAUUGAAUGAGCCGAUGUCGGAUUAGCUAGUUGGCGGGGUAAAGGCCCACCAAGGCGGCGAUCCGUAGCUGGUCUGAGAGGAUGAUCAGCCACACUGGAACUGAGACACGGUCCAGACUCCUACGGGAGGCAGCAGUGGGGAAUAUUGGACAAUGGGCGCAAGCCUGAUCCAGCCAUACCGCGUGGGUGAAGAAGGCCUUCGGGUUGUAAAGCCCUUUUGUUGGGAAAGAAAAGCAGCAGGUUAAUACCCCGCUGUUCUGACGGUACCCAAAGAAUAAGCACCGGCUGACUUCGUG
rnacentral:rRNA from 1 species